AUUGAACGCUGGCGGCAGGCUUAACACAUGCACGUCGAGCGAGCGGCGGACGGGUGAGUAAUGUCUGGGAAACUGCCUGAUGGAGGGGGAUAACUCCUGGAAAAGGUAGAUAAUACCGCAUACCAUCAGAUGUGCCCAGAGGGGAUUAGCUAGUAGGUGGGGGAAUGGCUCACGUAGGCGACGAUCCCUGGCUGGUCUGAGAGGAUGACCAGGCACACUGGAACGGAGACACGGUCCAGACUCCCACGGGAGGCAGCAGUGGUGAAUAUUGCACAAUGUGCGCAAGCCUGAUGCAGCCAUGCCGCGUGUGUGAAGAAGGCCUUCGGGUUGUAAAGCACUUUCAGCGAGGAGGCGGUACUCGCAGAAGAAGCACCGGCGAACUCCGUGCCAGCAGCCGCGGUAAUUC
rnacentral:rRNA from 1 species